UACGACUCAGAGUGUAGUCUACGAUUAUUGACUUGGCUUUGGUAUAUGCUCGGUCGGCUCUUAGAUAGGUUGUCUCUACGAUUCUGAACAUGACUUCCUCAACAGAUUAUGGCUCUGAGGAAGUUCUCCUCGACACACUACGAUCCUUCCUCGUCUCUCCUAGCAGUCUACGAACUCGGAGAUCUACUAUCUUGUAGACUACAAUUCUUCCUUGAUAUCUCGAGUUUUUCUUGACUCUCCUAGUAGACUAUGAUCUCUGUUGCAGUGCUCGACGAUCAGAUAAGCCUAUUUAUUACAUUACAAGAUCAACCUAACAAGCUUGAUCUGUCUAUAUUUAUAGUCUUUGUACAUCAUUUCUUUUUAAGGACUUUACAAAGCUGUUUUGCUUAAUGUAGGAUCAUCCUAAC
rnacentral:lncRNA from 1 species